UUGAGAGUCACACUACACUACCAAUUUCUUAAUACCCAUAGUCCAUGUAAGUUCAAGCCAAGCCCUUUCUCGAUGUCCCAAAGUUCUGUCUUGUACACCAAACAACUCCUAAAAUGAGAAAACUUUGCUGUCCAUCUUUUGUUUGCGUCUUGCAGCAGCCCUCUGUAGCCAGCUUUGGCUGCGUUUUCGCCCCUUGAGUCGUCUGUGUUUAGCACUGUCUACCCUGGUGAUAGUGGAGUCCAACUAAUGUGGAUCUCCUCUCUUUUCUUUGUGGUUAUUAUUGUUGAAGAAAUCCAUUGCACUUUCGGAUUUGAUAAGCUGCAUCCACGUUGUUGAAACCUUUGGGCAGUCUCUGAUGGUAUGGAUAAUGUCCCCGCUCAUUUUCAUUGCAAAUUGGACAAAUUUCAGUAACCCCAAAUAGACGAGCUCUUCGUUGGUGAAGUUCGGAACAGUUUGGAGAAGUUUGGAGCAAGAAACAAAAAUGUUGUCAGCUCUCCCCUGGGCGCUGAACGCUCAACCUGGCGUUCAACGCCAACAGGGGGCAUGAAGUCAGAAGCGCAACUCCUUUCUGGGCGUUCAAUGUCCAAUCUUGGCGUUGAACGAUAGCCUACUGUCCGAGCCACUCACCUAUUGGGCCUCCAAGUGGAUUUUAGCACUUCUUAGGUUUAUUUUAUUUUAUCUUUGUAAUUUUUAAUUUAAAAUGAUAUCUUUUAGGUUUAGCAUUUAUUAUUAGAUUAGUAUUUAAGGAGGAGAUCUUCUUCCUUCCGCAUCUUUUCAGAACUCUGUUUUCUUUGUAAGU